rnacentral:lncRNA from 1 species
CCCGGAUCAGGAAAGCCAGAGGAAAGGAAAGAGGCUAGCGCUGCCUAAAUGCAAAGAGCUCAGCAUCUCUGUGGAUUGCAGCAUCUAGGACAAACAGCAGGCCCUGGAUUACCCUGUCUUCCUGCCCAGAAUAAACCUUUGUGUCCUCUAUCCUGACUUCCCUGGGCCUGAGAUUUGUUUGCCAUCUGUGGGGAACUGGUAAUAAAACCCUGUUACAUGAUUUUGUGAAGUCA